rnacentral:rRNA from 1 species
UACGGAGGGGGCUAGCGUUGUUCGGAAUUACUGGGCGUAAAGCGCACGUAGGCGGCUUUGCAAGUCAGAGGUGAAAGCCCGGGGCUCAACUCCGGAAUUGCCUUUAAGACUGCAUCGCUCGAAUUGUGGAGAGGUAAGUGGAAUUCCGAGUGUAGAGGUGAAAUUCGUAGAUAUUCGGAAGAACACCAGUGGCGAAGGCGACUUACUGGACACAUAUUGACGCUGAGGUGCGAAAGCGUGGGGAGCAAACAGG